rnacentral:rRNA from 1 species
AGGCGACGGGGGGGUCUAUACUGCAGUCGUACGCUUCUUUUUCCACCGGAGCUUGCUCCACCGGAAAAAGAAGAGUGGCGAACGGGUGAGUAACACGUGGGUAACCUGCCCAUCAGAAGGGGAUAACACUUGGAAACAGGUGCUAAUACCGUAUAACAAUCUAAACCGCAUGGUUUUGAUUUGAAAGGCGCUUUCGGGUGUCCCUGAUGGAUGGACCCGCGGUGCAUUAGCUAGUUGGUGAGGUAACGGCUCACCAAGGCCACGAUGCAUAGCCGACCUGAGAGGGUGAUCGGCCACAUUGGGACUGAGACACGGCCCAAACUCCUACGGGAGGCAGCAGUAGGGAAUCUUCGGCAAUGGACGAAAGUCUGACCGAGCAACGCCGCGUGAGUGAAGAAGGUUUUCGGAUCGUAAAACUCUGUUGUUAGAGAAGAACAAGGAUGAGAGUAACUGUUCAUCCCUUGACGGUAUCUAACCAGAAAGCCACGGCUAACUACGUGCCAGCAGCCGCGGUAAUACGUAGGGGGCAAGCGUA